ACGUAGGGGGCGAGCGUUAUUCGGAAUUACUGGGCGUAAAGGGCAUGUAGGCGGCCCUUCAAGUCGCGUGUCAAAGUCCAGUGCUCAACGCUGGGAGUGCACGCGAUACUGACGAGCUUGAGGGCUGGAGAGGUGAGCGGAAUUCCCGGUGUAGUGGUAAAAUGCGUAGAGAUCUGGAGGAACACCAGUGGCGAAGGCGGCUCACUGGACGGUGACUGACGCUAAGGUGCGAAAGCGUGGGGAGCAAACAG
rnacentral:rRNA from 1 species